UUACCCCGGUCGGCGGAUUGACUAAGAACUUGUGCGGCGAUGACGUUUGGACUUUGAAAGCUAUUGGAGUUGUUGAGGAGAGGGACUUUAUGAGAUUAAUGGCGGAUUUGGAGAGGGAAGAUGAUAAGCUGAUGAUAGAUAAUAUGGUGUGGACUGUGGAGUGUUUGGUUAUGGAGAUGAUUUAUGCAUGUGAUGGUGUGGGGUCGGUUGAUUCAAGUUGUUCGUGAGCGGUGAGCUGGGGAAGAUAGUGAUAACGACAUGAGAAUUGAGUAAAACGACAAAGUGGGGCGGUUUGAGGAAUUUUUAGUCAGAAACAUUCUCAAAAGUACAAUAUAUUUUAAAAUUUAUUUAAUUUAAUAAUAUCUAAAAAAUUAGUAGUAAAAUAUAAAAUGGUUUUAUUGAUUUA